CGCGGGGUGGAGCAGUCUGGUAGCUCGUCGGGCUCAUAACCCGAAGGUCGAAGGUUCAAAUCCUUCCCCCGCUACCA
rnacentral:tRNA from 1 species